rnacentral:rRNA from 1 species
AUUGAACGCUGGCGGCAUGCCUUACACAUGCAAGUCGAACGGCAGCGCGGGGGCAACCCUGGCGGCGAGUGGCGAACGGGUGAGUAAUAUAUCGGAACGUACCCAAGAGUGGGGGAUAACGUAGCGAAAGUUACGCUAAUACCGCAUACGAUCUAAGGAUGAAAGUGGGGGACCGCAAGGCCUCACGCUCCUGGAGCGGCCGAUAUCUGAUUAGCUAGUUGGUGGGGUAAAGCCUACCAAGGCAUCGAUCAGUAGCUGGCCUGAGAGGACGACCAGCCACACUGGGACUGAGACACGGCCCAGACUCCUACGGGAGGCAGCAGUGGGGAAUUUUGGACAAUGGGGGCAACCCUGAUCCAGCAAUGCCGCGUGAGUGAAGAAGGCCUCGGUUGUAAG